rnacentral:lncRNA from 1 species
UUUGUCGCUACACAAACUCUCUCCUCCUGCAUCUGGAAGGUAUGACUUUACAUUUUGCACAGUCUGGGAGGAACAUCUGUCUGUAAACGGCUUAAAACAGCUUUAAUGUGUAAUAAAACUCCACUACAAGACUCUGCUACUGAGAAGAGACUCUAGAACAAGAAAGGGCAGUUUUGAAGGAGACAGAAAAAUGAAGCAAAACCUCCUGCUGGUGAGCCAGGUUCUCCUCAACUUCAGAAAACUCAAGAAACAAAUAUCAAUGCUCUGUGGGCUAGGGGAUGCUCAAAUGAACUAUCCAGAAAGACAGCCUGCCACACAGAUUUAUGAAGUAGCCAGUGUAGAAAGGGACAGGGCUGGCAUGAUUGGGGGUGGGGGUGGGACAGUGGGAUAAGAAAGACAGCUUUCCUUUUCUCUCCUGUCUUCUGACUGUAUGGGUGUACACAUUCACUUUUCUCUUCCAAAGUUUGUUAGGUAUGACACAAUAUGCUAACAUAACUUUGUGCAAAGGACACUUGUCUGGCAUUCAGACCCGCCAGGAAUUCAAGGCAUGAACUCUCAUCUAGCACAUUUCCAAGAUAACUACAUUUCCCAGCAGAACUUGCUUGUUCGAAGAAGUUGAUUCACUUUCGGAGCAGGUGGGACCCUCCCUCUCCAUCUGUGACCUGGUUUGUUUCUGGGCUAAAUUGUGGG